rnacentral:rRNA from 1 species
UUCUCGUUAGAUCACCGAAGUCAAGCCUCAUUGGGCGCGGUCAGUACUUGGGUGGGUGACCACCUGAGAACACCGCGGGCCGUU